rnacentral:rRNA from 1 species
GUCUACAUCCAUACCACCCUGAACACACCCGAUCUCGGAAGCUAAGCAGGGUCGGGCCUGGUUAGCAAUUGGAUGGGAGAAAGGAAAAGAACCCCACUUAUUGACAUCCUCAGAACAAAUGGCUAACUGUGGUGU